GGACAAGGUUCCUGGCGGUGAGGACAAGGUUACUGGCGGUGAGGACAAGGUUACUGGCGGUGAGGACAAGGUUCCUGGCAGUGAGAACAAGGUUCCUGGCGGUGAGGACAAGGUUCCUGGCGGUGAGGACAAGGUUACUAGCGGUGAGGACAAGGUUACUAGCGGUGAGGACAAGGUUACUAGCGGUGAGGACAAGGUUACUAGCGAUGAGGACAAGGUUCCUGGCGGUGAGGACAAUGUUCCUGGCUUUGAGGACAAGGUUACUAGCGGUGAGGACAAGGUUCCUGGCAGUGAGGACAAGGUUCCUGGCGGUGAUGACUAGGUUCCUGGCGGGGAGGACAAGGUUCCUGGCGGUGAGGACAAGGUUCCUGGCAGUGAGGACAAGGUUCCUGGCGGUGAGGACAAUGUUCCUGGCGGUGAGGACAAGGUUCC